rnacentral:rRNA from 1 species
UACGUAGGGGGCAAGCGUUGUCCGGAAUCAUUGGGCGUAAAGCGCGUGUAGGCGGCCCGGUAAGUCCGCUGUGAAAGUCCAGGGCUCAACCUCGAGACGUCGGCGGAAACCAUCUGGCUAGAGUCCGGAAGAGGAGAGUGGAAUUCCUGGUGUAGCGGUGAAAUGCGCAGAUAUCAGGAAGAACACCCGUGGCGAAGGCGGCUCUCUGGGACGGUACUGACGCUGAGACGCGAAAGCGUGGGGAGCGAACAGG